rnacentral:misc_RNA from 1 species
UGUAAACUAUAUACAACAUGUACCUCUGUAGCAAGAUUGUCUCAUUGGUUGGUAUAUUGUAAAAACAUCUGCAUACAUACAAACUUGGUUUGAAAGACUGCAAGGCAGGUGCUAAAACAUCAAUAGAUUAACAUGUACCGGUAGUUUCAUCUAGGAAAACUUGUGUAAUUUACAUGUAGAUUAUUGUAUAGUGUAAAUGUACAGUGUAUGUAAAAACUUGCACAUACAUGUAUAUUAUUAUGAAUAAUAUUUUGAAGAAAUUCAGGCAGUUUUUGUUACAAAUUUCCUCCCAGCUAAAAUCAAAAGUCGAAGAAUAUGCAAUGACAUCGGAAAUAGAGUUUAUUUUUUAUGGAACAAAUUUUCCAUUUUUUCCCAUUUUUCAACUACCAAGUACUCUCAAGCAGUACUUUUGUUAUGUUGCAUCAAAAUUGUCUUUUUUUUGGAAAUUCUGAAGUUUGAUUAUUAGAUUUUGUAAGGUAGUCAGAUAGAAACUUGAUACCAUAAUAUGGUUGUGUUUGCUCUAUUUAUUUGCAUUUAACUUAAAACUAUGUAUUCAGCUGUAAAUAUUUGUUUGUUGUGUUGGUGCUAAAACCAGAUUUUGUACUUUUCCAUAACUAUUAUACAAAAAAAAGAUCAGUAUAUGUGUAGUGAAAGGUAGUGGUUAAUUUUUUUCGUACGUUUUUGGUGCAAUUAUCUACUUUUUAUAACUUAAAUACUUGUGCUGAUCAAAUUUCUUAAUUUUUGCUAUUAUGAAAAUCAUUUGUCUACUGUCAAUAACUGUAUUUGAAUUCUAUAUGUGACAUGUGACAUUUACAUGAUGGUGAUAAUAAAAAUAAUGGAAAGUCAU